CAAAAUCAGAAAGGGGGAAGCCAUAGUUAGGGUUUUUAAGAUUCCAAGCUCAAUAAUCAAGAAAAACGAGAAGACUACCUCAAACGGGGAAAAGAAAAGAUAGUGGAGUAAAUUGCAAAAUUACGAUAUUUUGCACCGAGUGACAUCAGCUAGUUCGGAACUUGGACGAAGUCAGGAAAUCAUCCACACUAUCAUCAACUUUUUGUGUAUUUUGGCAAUCAACACUUUUGAAACAUGGCAUGUAUAGAUGACUUUAUGUAAUAUAGUAUAAAUAUGUAUAUAUAGUAUUGUUCGGUUUAAUAAGUAGGUGAUUAUCAAUGGAUAAAU